GUACAAACUCUGCCGUCAUCAUAUCCCAGGUGGUGUGUUGUGAGGACUGCUGCCCUAAGAACACUGAGUGCAUUCUGGAAUAUUCCAAAUGUGUGCCACGUCCAAGCUCGCAAGAGAGUUCACUCACCAGGUGGCAGCAGUGCGGUGAAGGCAGAGUGGCAGCAGAGCUGGCCUAAACAAAAUAGUCUUCAGUCCUUGGAACCGCACCAGGCUCUUUGGCCCCAAGAACAAACCUUCCGUCAUAGGUGCCUCUGAUAGUGCAUCACUCACAAGAAUGGUAACAAGAAUGCACUUAAAGAAUGCCCUGGCAGGAGCAUCACAUAUGAAUGCUUUCACAGACAGUUGAAGUGCUUUGCCUCCAUGAACAAUGCCAUCUUGCUGUAACUGCUGCAACUCCUAGAGAAAGUCACUUAAGUACUCUUCCACUGAAUUUGGUUUAGCAACUCCACAGUAGAUGGCCACAAUGAAAGGAGCAAAGUUGUGAAAGUUGCAGAGUAUGGGACACAUUUGGAAGUUGGAGGAUUUAAAAAGUGGCACACCAUCAAUGUUAAAGCACAAAUAUAGGUUAUAGAUAGAUU